rnacentral:rRNA from 1 species
AUUGAACGCUGGCGGCAUGCUUUACACAUGCAAGUCGAACGGCAGCGCGGGCUUCGGCCUGGCGGCGAGUGGCGAACGGGUGAGUAAUGCAUCGGAACGUGCCCAGUAGUGGGGAUAGCCCGGCGAAAGCCGGAUUAAUACCGCAUACGACCUGAGGGUGAAAGCGGGGGACCGAAAGGCCUCGCGCUAUUGGAGCGGCCGAUGUCGGAUUAGCUAGUUGGUGGGGUAAAGGCUUACCAAGGCGACGAUCCGUAGCUGGUCUGAGAGGACGACCAGCCACACUGGGACUGAGACACGGCCCAGACUCCUACGGGAGGCAGCAGUGGGGAAUUUUGGACAAUGGGGGCAAACCUGAUCCAGCCAUGCCGCGUGCGGGAAGAAGGCCUUCGGGUUGUAAAACGCUUUUGUUCGGGAAGAAAUCCUCUGGGCUAAUACCCCGGGGGGAUGACGGUACCGGAAGAAUAAGCACCGGCUAACUACGUG